CACGCUCCUGGCGACACGUGACCCAUCUGUCACGCUACUGUAAAAGUUGCUUCUGGACAGUGACCGUCUGGCGCUCCUGGAACUGAACGGCAGGACUCAAGACCCUGGAAAUUCGUGCUGGUUCCCUCCAGACUCAUAGCCAUGCCUGUUCAAGGAUGUCUGUUGCCCACUGCUUCCUGCCCAAGAUACUGGUAACCCUGGAAGGUAGCCCUUGUGCUGGGAGUGCUGUGUCAGAAACAUGGACACGAUUCCCUCUCUCUCCAUGAUGUUAGAAUAAUAAAUUGGCUGUUGGCUGUC